UGGCUAUCUCUCUUUAUUUGUUUAUAUAUAUAUAUAUAACUAAAUGUGUGUGUGUGUGUGUGUGUUUGGAUGUAUUUUUCAUUGAUUAUGCUUGGUUGUAAGCACUGUCAAGCUUGUUUGUUCAAGAAUGAUUCUAUUGCCAAUUUUGUGAACAUUUCAACUUCGACUCUUCAUCGGGAUUGAUGCUGCUCACCUGACCACCAUCAGGGAAUUUGCUUAUUUUAUUUGUUCUUUUGGGACAUGAGAGAGUCAUUAGUAGGCGUCAGAAAUGACAGAAGAAUGGUGUUUUGUCUAAAGUUUGUAUCGUUGUUUUUUUCAAGAACAAAAGUAGAGGUGUCAAAAUCACCUUUUCAGGUAGCAAAGGAUUGUAUGGAUGCAAACAAAACAAGUGGACUAUCUUCUUCUUCUUUAAUUAAAUUUUUGUUUUAUUUGCCUGGAAUUUAGAAUCUAGAUUAAAAAUCAU
rnacentral:lncRNA from 1 species